UAGCUAGUUGGUGAGGUAACGGCUCACCAAGGCUACGAUCGAUAGCUGUUCUGAGAGGAAGAUCAGCCACACUGGGACUGAGACACGGCCCAGACUCCUACGGGAGGCAGCAGUUGGAAUCUUGCACAAUGGGGGAAACCCUGAUGCAGCGACGCCGCGUGAGCGAUGAAGCCCUUCGGGGUGUAAAGCUCUUUCGGCAGGGAAGAUUAUGACGGUACCUGCAGAAGCAGCUGCGGCUAACUACGUGCCAGCAGCCGCGGUAAUACGUAGGCAGCGAGCGUUGUUCGGAGUUACUGGGCGUAAAGGGUGUGUAGGCGGUUGUUUAAGUUUGGUGUGAAAUCUCCCGGCUCAACUGGGAGGGUGCGCCGAAUACUGAAUAACUUGGAGUGCGGGAGAGGAAAGUGGAAUUCCUGGUGUAGCGGUGAAAUGCGUAGAUAUCAGGAGGAACACCGGUGGUGUAGACGGCUUUCUGGACCGUAACUGACGCUGAGACACGAAAGCGUGGGUAGCAAACAGGAUUAGAUACCCUGGUAGUCCACGCCCUAAACGAUGCAUAUUUGGUGUGGGCAGUUCAUUCCGUCCGUGCCGGAGCUAACGCGUUAAAUAUGCCGCCUGGGGAGUACAGUCGCAAGGCUGAAACUCAAAGGAAUUGACGGGGGCCCGCACAAGCGGUGGAGCAUGUGGUUCAAUUCGACACACGCGAAGAACCUUACCUGGGCUCGAACGGCUGGUCAACGCCGGUGGAAACAUCGGUACCCCGCAAGGGGGUCCAGUCGAGGUGCUGCAUGGCUGUCGUCAGCUCGUGUCGUGAGAUGUCGGGUUAAGUCCCGCAACGAGCGCAACCCUUGUCCUGUGUUGCCAUACCGAAAGGUGGAACUCGCAGGAGACCGCCAGGGAUAACCUGGAGGAAGGUGGGGAUGACGUCAAGUCCUCAUGGCCUUUAUGUCCAGGGCUACACACGUGCUACAAUGGACGGUACAAAGCGCAGCGAACUCGCGAGAGGGAGCCAAUCGCAAAAAACCGUUCUCAGUUCGGAUUGCAGGCUGCAACUCGCCUGCAUGAAGCUGGAAUCGCUAGUAAUGGCAGAUCACCACGCUGCCGUGAAUACGUUCCCGGGCCUUGUACACACCGCCCGUCACAUCACGAAAGUGGAUUGUACUAGAAGUCUGCACGCUGACCCGCAAGGGAGGCAGCGGCCCAAGGUAUGAUUCAUGAUUGGGGUGAAGUCGUAACAAGGUAGCCGUAGGAGAACCUGCGGCUG
rnacentral:rRNA from 1 species